AUUGGUCGACACACUUGUGGUGGAUGGGAGACGGGAACAGCUGUACACCGGUAUGCUCUCUCUGGCAUCUGUAGCAGCCAGACGUAUGAGUCAUGCUGGGAUAACUGGUCAUUACUGGUGACGUGACCUUGACCUAACCCUGACCUGACUCUCAACUAAAGAACAUGAAUUCAACGCCAGAUACUUCGUCCUCUUGGUCUACGCUGCCUCCGCCUGGCGAUGUGACCAAAAGCUUGGGCGAGCAGGAACGACUGACUCAAAUGUCCCACAUGCUGGACGUGACUGUGUGGAUGAUGAUCUUCUGUAUUUUCAUCUUCUUCUUUAUCAUCAUUGUCGCUGUCCUCUGUAUGCAGUGGCUGGAGAGAAGGAGUAAAGAUAAUCUUCGUGGUGAGUGCCUUCUGAUAUAGCGGGGCCAGUGCCAGGGUGCAUCACAGUUGUAACAUCCAACCAGCCUCACCUUCGUCUUAUUAACCAUUACCACCUUGAACCUUGUUACUACAGCACCACAGGGUAAGCUCUCUGGGCCUCUGCAAUUUCAUAUUUAUUCUUAAUUUGGAUUUUCGGGUUCGGUUUGCGGAUUCGGUUAUGAAAAUUAGGGUUAGGAGUUUGGAUUCAAGUUAAGUUUUUCGGAUUAUAGUUCAGAUAUUGGGAAUUCGAAGUCAAGGUUAAAUCUGAUUCGUUCUCAUUUUGUUAUUUAUAUUUUAUUGUUAAAUUUGAUACAUUUUUGUAAGAUUAUUUUUGUAGUUUGGGAUUUUUCUGCUAUUUUUGAAUACUAACUACAGGUUGUGUACAAGCCUAGUGAUCUACUAACAUACUUCCCCUCUCACCUCCUGUAGUAAACUGCCCCCUCGCUCCUUCUCCCCCCACAUCACGUGUGUCUACGAUGACGUCACCUACCACAAGCAAUGACGCACUUUACCAACACCUCACUCACAUCUGUCUUCCAAGAGUGUGUCAGUGUAGCCAUACCACCACCCUGACAGUGUUACCAUCACCAAGACACUGUUCCCAUCACCCUGACAGUGUUACCAUCACCACGACAGUGUUACCAUCACCAAGACAGUGUUACCAGCAUCAAAACAGUGUUACCAUCACCUGAACAAUGUUACCAUCACCAAGACAAUUAAUGAAGAUAGUUACCAUCACCAAGACAGUGUUACCAGCACCAAGACAGUGUUACCAUCACCACGACAGUGUUACCAUCACCAAGACAGUGUUACCAGCAUCAAAACAGUGUUACCAUCACCAAGACAAUUAAUGAAGAUAGUUACCAUCACCAAGACAGUGUUACCAGCACCAAGACAGUGUUACCAUCACCAAGACAGUGUUACCAUCACCAAGACAGUGUUACCAGCACCAGACAGUGUUACCAUCACAAACGGUGUUACCACAACUAGGACAGUGUUACCAACACCAACAGUUUGACCAGCACCAAAGACAGUGUUACCAUCACCUGAACAAUGUUACCAACACCAAGACAGUGUUACUAAAAUCAAGACGUUUUACUAUAACCAUGGCAGUGUUGCAUAACUGGAACAGUGUUACCAGCACCAGGACAGUUACUAAAGACAAUGUGACCAGCACCAAGACAGUGCCAGCACCAAGACAGUGUGACCAACACCAAGACAGUGUGACCAGCACCAAGACAGUACCAUCACCUGAACAAUGUUACCAACACCAAGACAGUGUUACUAAAAUCAAGACAGUUUUACUAUCACCGGCAGUGUUACCAUAACUAGGACAGUGUUACCAGCACCAGGACAGUUUUACUACUACCAGGACAAUGUUACCAGCACCAAGACAGUGUUACCAGCACCAGACAGUGUUACCAGCACCAAGACAGUGUUACCAGCACCAAGAUAGUUACUAAAGACAGUGUGACUACACCUAAGACAGUGUUACAGCACCAGACAGUGUUACCAGCACCAAGACAGUGUUACCAGCACCAAGACAGUGUUACCAGCACCAAGAUAGUUACUAAAGACAGUGUGACUAGCACCAAGACAGUAUUACCAGCACCAAGACAGUGUUACCACCACAAGGAGAGUCUUCGUAGCACCAGGGCAGUGUUACCAAUAUAUAUGACCAUAAAUAAAACAGUGUUAAAAAUAUCACCAAAGAACUUGAAACAUUUUAACACUGUUGACAUCAUAAUUUACAGUAUUAUCAGUAACAAGAAAGUGUUACCACAUCCAAGUAAUUAUUACUAUUAGUGUGACAGUUUAUAGAAAUAUCAGUGUUACCCGAUCCACACUUAUGUACAGCCUUAUGCAGCAAAAAAAUUAAUAAAAGUUUCACAAGUUUU
rnacentral:lncRNA from 1 species